rnacentral:rRNA from 1 species
AACGAACGCUGGCGGCAUGCCUAACACAUGCAAGUCGAACGAAGCCUUCGGGCUUAGUGGCGCACGGGUGCGUAACGCGUGGGAAUCUGCCCUUGGGUUCGGAAUAACAGUUAGAAAUGACUGCUAAUACCGGAUGAUGUCUUCGGACCAAAGAUUUAUCGCCCAAGGAUGAGCCCGCGUAGGAUUAGGUAGUUGGUGGGGUAAUGGCCCACCAAGCCGACGAUCCUUAGCUGGUCUGAGAGGAUGAUCAGCCACACUGGGACUGAGACACGGACCAGACUCCUACGGAAGGCAGCAGUGGGGAAUAUUUGACAAUGGGCGAAAGCCUAAUCCAGCAAUGCCGCGUGAGUGAUGAAGGCCUUAGAGUUGUAAAGCUCUUUUACCAGGGAUGAUAAUGACAGUACCUGGAGAAUAAGCUCCGGCUAACUCCGUGCCAGCCGCCGCAGUAA